rnacentral:rRNA from 1 species
CCAAUAGCGUAUAUUAAAGUUGUUGCAGUUAAAAAGCUCGUAGUUGAAUUUCGGGAUUAAUUUACUGGUCGUGCUAUUGUACGUACUGGUUUUAUUGAUUCCUCCCUUCUGACGAACUAUGAUGUCAUUAAUUUGGUGUCAUAGGAAAUCUGGACUGUUACUUUGAAAAAAUUAGAGUGUUUAAAGCAGGCUCACGCUUGAAUACAUUAGCAUGGAAUAACGGAAUAGGACGUUUGAUUCUAUUUUGUUGGUUUCUAGGAUCGACGUAAUGAUUAAUAGGGAUAGUUGGGGGCAUUAGUAUUCAAUUGUCAGAGGUGAAAUUCUUGGAUUUAUUGAAGACUAACUACUGCGAAAGCAUUUGCCAAGGAUGUUUUCAUUAAUCAAGAACGAAAGUUAGGGGAUCGAAGACGAUCAGAUACCGUCGUAGUCUUAACCAUAAACUAUGCCGACUAGGGAUCGGAUGAUGUUAAUUUUUUGAUGACUCAUUCGGCGCCUUACG